rnacentral:tRNA from 1 species
GCGGGGGUACCCGAGCCAGGUCUAAUUAGCUGGGUCAUCAUGAACCCUCUAGGAAAAGGGGGAGGACUUAAGAUCCUCUGGCGAAGGCCUUCGUGGGUUCAAGUCCCACCCCCCGCACCA